rnacentral:rRNA from 1 species
AUACGUAGGGUGCAAGCGUUAAUCGGAAUUACUGGGCGUAAAGCGUGCGCAGGCGGUUUUGUAAGACAGUGGUGAAAUCCCCGGGCUCAACCCGGGAACUGCCAUUGUGACUGCAAGGCUGGAGUGCGGCAGAGGGGGAUGGAAUUCCGCGUGUAGCAGUGAAAUGCGUAGAUAUGCGGAGGAACACCGAUGGCGAAGGCAAUCCCCUGGGCCUGCACUGACGCUCAUGCACGAAAGCGUGGGGAGCAAACAGGAUUAGAUACCCUGGUAGUCCACGCCCUAAACGAUGUCAACUGGUUGUUGGGGAUUUAUUUUCUCAGUAACGAAGCUAACGCGUGAAGUUGACCGCCUGGGGAGUACGGCCGCAAGGUUAAAACUCAAAUGAAUUGACGGGG